rnacentral:rRNA from 1 species
AGUGAACGCUGGCGGUAGGCCUAACACAUGCAAGUCGAACGGCAGCACAGUAAGAGCUUGCUCUUACGGGUGGCGAGUGGCGGACGGGUGAGGAAUACAUCGGAAUCUACUUUUUCGUGGGGGAUAACGUAGGGAAACUUACGCUAAUACCGCAUACGACCUACGGGUGAAAGCAGGGGAUCUUCGGACCUUGCGCGAUUGAAUGAGCCGAUGUCGGAUUAGCUAGUUGGCGGGGUAAAGGCCCACCAAGGCAACGAUCCGUAGCUGGUCUGAGAGGAUGAUCAGCCACACUGGAAAUGAGACACGGUCCAGAAUCCUAAGGGAGGCAGCAGUGGGGAAUAUUGGACAAUGGGCGCAAGCCUGAACCAGCCAUACCGCGUGGGUGAAGAAGGCCUUCGGGUUGUAAAGCCCUUUUGUUGGGAAAGAAAAGCAGCAGGUUAAUACCCCGCUGUUCUGACGGUACCCAAAGAAUAAGCACCGGCUAACUUCGUG